AUGCUCCACCCUCCCCCAUCUCUUCUCACAGUGAAGGAAGAGCAUUUGGACAUCACAUGACCCGGAGGAACCUCUGUUAGCUAGGUGACCACAGUUGCUGUCUCUUUCUCCUGAUGGACACUUUCGCUCAGAUGGCUCCAGUAAGUCAGAGUUGAACACCAGGAAGCCACCGUGCCUACCUGGGUCUCCUGAGCCGUCGCUGUUCCUCUCACUCUCCCCAUCUUCCUGGCCAUCUGCAUUCUGCUGGGUGUGCUGCAGGCUCAGCUUGUGGCAGACUUCAAAGGCCUGCCCCACCGUCCGCACGAUUCUCAUAGCUUGACUCUGGGAAGGAAGAUGGAAAAGAAAGAGUGAAGGAUGCGGAGACUCUACCAGGACACAGCAAAGGCAACUGCAGCUGCCGGGCUGGAAGGGCUUCCAGCACUUUUGAUCAUGAGGACGCUCCCUGGUCAGGGCUGGACCAGGAAGCUCCACCUUCAGAAAAAAAGACCACUUGCUGCGGCUUCAGUGAUGUCCAUCCUCUAGUCCCCCCCCCCCUUUCUGGAAAGAAGAGCAGGCUGCCUGUGGCUUCUCAAUCUUUCGCAUCACAGCGAAGCUCAUCCACCAAGUCACUGCAUGUGUGGCUUUCUGCCUGCCACACUGUCCCUUAACAGAAGAUUUUACUUCGCCUCCCCAACUAACUCUUGCAGAUUUUUCUCUCCUAAACAUCUUUACGUGAUGCAGAAAACCUAAAUGCUUUAGGUUCGUGAAACAAAAAUGGGUCCAAAGGACGAUAGCCAUUGCCUCCUUCCUAUAGCACAAGAAGAAAGCCCUCAGGCAAAUGCAUCUCAGCUCUGAGCUAGUCCAACAGCUUCUACGUAGGAAGUCGCUGGUGAACUUCUACAUUUGCACAGUUGGGGUACAAUGAUUUCAUUUCGGUUUCUCUUACUCUCCUUUAAAUAAAGGCUAUGUCUCUCCAUUCACGAUAAAGGGGCAUAGCGGCAUGUUUGACAGACAGCUCUGUGUUCUUGAGGAGGUGACUUGGUAGACAUCAAACUAGCCUGUCUGUUCUGCAGAAUGACGGCAUACCCAUAAAAGACUGUCCCUCGCAUUCACUACUCUGGGGGUCAAAACCAGCGAGCUGGCUCCUAACACUACUCGCCGACAGCUAUAUUGUGUCCAGAUGCCUUUGACCUUUCAGACUUUCCUUUCAUCACCACUGAAAAUCUUUUUAGAGGACUUUCUAGGAGGACCUUGGGAGGGCACAGUUACUGAGGGCAGGUGCUCAUCCUCUUGGAGCUGCUCUGCACAGCCCAAUGGGCUCCUUUCUACAGGCUCACCGCACUUGGUGAUCCUAGGCAAGAAAACUGGUUUUGCUUGCUGCCUUGAAAUGCAGGAGUCAUACUAGCUGGGACUUCCUAGAAGGCCAGGUCUGAACCUAAGAGGGAGAACUCCAUUAAAGUGAAGCUUCAAAAUGAGCUCUUUCAGAGGUUUUCAUGAAGACAGGGUCUCCAGGAUCACACGGAAGCAGCUGCCCAGAUCUCAUGACACUGGGAAGUCAAAGGGGAGGUUUGAAGAUUACAGACAUUCGCGCACUCCGUGGAGCCAGCAAGUGGACUGUUAGGAAGACAGCCUUUUCCAGCUUUCAGAGAUCUGGCCACUCUCUGGGAUUUACUAGGUUGGGAACAUCAUUAUACCACAUGAUUUUUGUACAAAUUCAGCUUAGUGUUACAUAAUCCUCUGAAAGUGCUGGGUGGCGCAUAGACCAAAUCUUCCUGUCCAGGAGCCAAUUUCUCUUAGCAGCCCGGAGCAUGUGUGGCCUCGUGGUUAUCAAGAUUAGCUUGGAUAUGGCUGCUUUGAUGUUUUCAGAGCUGGAAAGGAAUACCUAACCUCAGAGUGGCUCUCAGCUGCAGAUGGAGAGCAAUGACAUUCACUGGAAGUGCCAAUUACAGGCAAUUUUGUGAAAACAGGCCGGGACGGAAGCUACCGCAGAACCGUAUGCCUCUGAUCCCACCACACAGUACUGCUUUAAACCAUCUCUCUAGCCUCUUGAUAGAAGCCCUCUCCCAGCCUACAAUCCUUCUCACCCUGGUACACAGACCAGGACAAGAUGGAUGAAUUAGCUAUUCUCCUCACCAUGCCUAAUGUGGACUUCAACAUAGUAGGUGUCAACAGUUGAAAACCCGAUGCAAUGAAAAUAAUAGCAUUCUCUGCAAGCAUGCGCUAUCUGCUCAAAAGUAGACAAAGGCUGGUAUAUUCGCUUCAGAAAGUCAGAAAUCAAAGGUUGAUUCUUGUUAAAUGUUGAAUGAAAUGACUGAUCCACAGGAAAACCAUUUAUGACACCAUUUCACCUUCUCCAUCUGAUGAGCCCGUUGCUGGUUGACUAUCUAUACUUGGGAAUCUUUUCAGAAUUGAUGAUUGCCGGCACUCUUCUGAAUUUCACCGCUCUGGACAAAGCUCUCUCCCCUUUACAUCUUGUGGAGAUGAUUUUAAAGCCCCCAGAUGAGCAAGGAAAGCAGAGCCCAAAAGCACAACGUGCAAGGUGCACAAGAGAUGGUGAGAAGAUGAAGCUGCCAGUGAUGAGAAAAAGGAAGAAGCAUGAGGCUUCUUCUUUCAAGAAGCCUUGCUAUUGGUCUACCAUCCCUCUGCUCUGUGGCGACCCCUCUCCAUCUUCUGGACCCUGGGGAUUGAUCUCCCAAGUACUUCUGAGUUCUAGGGAGUUGACUUCCACCAAGUCAGGUGCGCAAGGACUUUUGUAAUUCUCCCCUGUCCACAGCAAUAAAGUACAGUGCCUUUAUGUUGAGCUCAACUAUUGCAGAAUCUACCAAGAAUAGAACUGAAUGUCAUGUUUCUUUAAUGUGUCACUUAAAGGCAUCUCGGAAAGGAGCUGGGGAGAUAGUUCAGUUGGGAGACACAAGCACACAAGGCCUGAGUUUGAUUUUCAGAAUAUACAAAUACACACAGACACACACACACGGGGGGGUGGGCAGGAGAAGGAGGGAGACAGAGUGUGAGCAUGAGGCCUGGUGCCUCAAGUGUAUAAUUAAUCCCAGCAUUAGGGAGAUGGAGACAGGCGUAUUCCUUGGGCUUGCUGGCCAGCUAACCUAGCCUAAUGAACAAAUUCCAGGCCAAUGAAGAGAUUUCGCUUCAAAAGACAAGUUGGAUGGCACCUGAGGAAUGACAUCAAGGUUGACCUCUGGCCUCUGCAUGAACACAAACACCCACAAAAUAAAUUAAAGCUACCUUCAGUUUGGCGUUGUCAAGGGACUACGAGCUGAAGCAUGAAUAUAUUUACAUGUGGGUAUCAACAUGUAACAUACUAAGGGUUUAAAAUAAAUGAUAGGUGGGUCAGGAUUUUGUCCACUGUGUUGUUGAUGACUU